UGGGGAAUUUUGGACAAUGGGCGAAAGCCUGAUCCAGCAAUGCCGCGUGUGUGAAGAAGGCCUUCGGGUUGUAAAGCACUUUUGUCCGGAAAGAAAUCCUUGGCUCUAAUACAGUCGGGGGAUGACGGUACCGGAAGAAUAAGCACCGGCUAACUACGUGCCAGCAGCCGCGGUAAUACGUAGGGUGCAAGCGUUAAUCGGAAUUACUGGGCGUAAAGCGUGCGCAGGCGGUUUGCUAAGACCGAUGUGAAAUCCCCGGGCUCAACCUGGGAACUGCAUUGGUGACUGGCAGGCUAGAGUAUGGCAGAGGGGGGUAGAAUUCCACGUGUAGCAGUGAAAUGCGUAGAGAUGUGGAGGAAUACCGAUGGCGAAGGCAGCCCCCUGGGCCAAUACUGACGCUCAUGCACGAAAGGCGUGGGGGAGCAAACAGGAUUAGAUACCCCUGGUAGUCCACGCCCCUAAACGAUGUCAACUAGUUGUUGGGGGAUUCAUUUCCUUAGUAACGUAGCUAACGCGUGAAGUUGACCGCCUGGGGAGUACGGUCGCAAGAUUAAAACUCAAAUGAAUUGACGGGGUCAUAGCUGUUU
rnacentral:rRNA from 1 species